GCUACAUAUGCUGUAGCCAGCCUUCUCCUUAUAUACCACACUAGAACGGGUGCACUUGCACAAACAAGCCACUCCUCCCACCACCUUCUUCUUCUUCUUUUUUAUCAGCAGACUGCGGUGUUCCUUUCGGUCGCGAAGAAGAAGCGGCCGCAACAAUGGAUGAGCCUUUCCAGGGCGAGGACCGGAACCUGUCGGCCGUGGAUCACGUCAAGAAGCGCCAUCACGAGAAGGGCUUCUUCUAUGCCUGCGCCUUCACGCUGUGCUGCUGCUUCUGCUGCUACGAGGCCUGCGAGCACUGCCUGGAGUUCUUCUGUUGCUGCUGCAAGAAGGACGAUUAGGAUCGGUCCAGGCAUUAUUCAGCCAAUUCCGUCGUCGCGCCAUGAUCAGUUCGUUGUGGAUACGUUUCGUCUGUGAAGAAUUGUGAUCAAUCUGGAAUUGUUCAUCGAAAUAAAGCAUGCCGUGAUUGGUGUAAACUCUACGUUAACCGUAGUGAGUUCGGUGAAGCAGCUGUAAAUCUGUUAUUGGUUUGCCAUGUCAGCACGCUGGUAAUAUAUUACACCCUUGUGUAUAGAAAAGGUUGCUUGUGUUAUCGUUCUCCUACUCCCUAUUUCUUUCCUGAACUUACUGGCAUGUAGAUUUUUAUGCUUCUGCAAGGCUAGGGAUGCAGAGUUGCAGAACUCCAUCAUUCAGUGGAUGGAUCACAGAUGCGGUGGUUGGUGUGUCGUGGUCUGUUCCUGUUGCUUAUGAUGCGCUCUUGCCAUCUUCCUUGCUCAUCUGAUAUUCACAGGAAAGGAAGGAUGUCUGGUCUUUCAGCGGUUUCAGAUUAUUCAGUUCAGAACAGUUAGAUUUUACCUACGGGAGCAUAAAUCCAGAGAGAAAGCUUUAGAACCUCCAUUUCUAACGUGAUUAUUUUCCUAAAAAAAGGACAGGACAAGCAAACUGAAUCCAAUCUCGCCGUCUUGCCAAAACUUUGCCAAACAUUUACUACUGUGUGGUUUGAAUCCAACGAAAUUUGAUCAGUCCGCAUCCGUUCGUUGCAGUCGAGGCCCACUCCCACUUCCUUCUCUUCGGUAAACCCGAAAGGCCCAAAACCCAAACGGGCCAGCACCCGCCCAAACCCCUACCGAGCCGGAGUAAGCGCAAACUCCGAGGCGGCCGGCAUUGGUCCUCGUGCGCGGGCGGCGGACAGUUCCGGCGGUCGGGGUCGGGAGCAACUAGGCUCUUGCCUCUCCGGUGGCUUCUUUCGCGCCUCGCCUGCGGUGGCGGUUCCGUCUUCGUCCGGCCGGGAUGGGCUGCGCCGCUGCGGCGGCUGGCGCAAUGUGAGCUACAGCUGCAGGUGCGAAGCUGGUGAGCUGUGGCGGCUUCGCUUAUC